GAUGAAGAACGCAGUGAAAUGCGAUAAGUAAUGUGAAUUGCAGAAUUCAGUGAAUCAUCGAAUCUUUGAACGCACCUUGCGCCCUUUGGACUUCUGAAGGGCAUGCCUGUUUGAGUAUCAUGAACACCUCAACUCCUUAUGGUCUUCCAUGAUGAGCUUGGACUUUGGGGGUUUUGCUGGCCUACAGUCAGCUCCUCUAAAAUAAAUCAGCUUACCGGUGUUUGGUUGGUAUCAUGGGUGUGAUAACUAUCUACGCUCGUGGUUUUCCACCAGGUAACCUUCAGCAGUGGAGGUUCACUGGAGCUCAUAGAUGUCUCUCCUAAGCGAGGACAGCACUUUGAAUGUUUGAUCUCAAAUCAGGUAGGACUACCCGCUGAACUUAAGCAUAUCAAUAAGCGGAGGA
rnacentral:misc_RNA from 1 species